GUCUGUGCUAAGAUUGAAAUAUCUGACACACCAAGUAAAAGGAACCAAGAAGCUGCGUUGCGAGCUUUCAAGGUUCUGGGUGUUAUUUAUCAAGAGGACAUUAUGGCUUUCCUCAAAAAGAAAAUGGAGUGUGCUAAAGAAGUGGAGUACACUGCAGUUCUUACCAUCCUAAGAGAAAUUAUACAAGACUUUCCCCAUAUGGACAAAGUAAAAAAUGUCCUGGUACAGUCUGUGGCCCUCCUCAUAACGGAAAACACUGAGCUGGCUCUCCUGAAGGUGAAGAGACCUCUCUUGCAGCUAAUUAGAAGCUUGGGAUGCUGCAGGUACCUCACCCUACCAGGAGGAAAAGUGCUAGUGGAUUUCCUCAUCCAACAGUGUGAGCACGUUGUCUGCACCACAAAGUCCAAAGAUGACUGGAAUGGUGAAAUGAUCCAGAAGUACAGCAUUAGCACCCUACACUUGCGGCUGAGCUCCCAACACCUCAGGCACUCUUGCUACGCCUUUUAGUAAUUUCAUUGUAUCCCUACAAGGGUGGGGAUUCUGGGAUUAUUGCCCUCCAACUGCUUCAUGCCCUCCACCCUA
rnacentral:lncRNA from 1 species